CGAUGAUCUUUCGGGAUCGUAGUGGCGGACGGGUGAGUAACACGUUGGUACCUACCCCGAAGUGGGGAAUAACUGCCCGAAAGGGUGGCUAAUACCGCAUAAUACCGCAAGGUUAAAGCAUUUAUGCGCUUCGGGAGGGGCCUGCGUCCCAUUAGCUAGUUGGUAGGGUAAUUGCCUACCAAGGCGACGAUGGGUAGCUGGAUCGAGAGGUUGACCAGCCACACUGGGACUGAGAUACGGCCCAG
rnacentral:rRNA from 1 species